rnacentral:rRNA from 1 species
GUGACAGCCGCCGCGGUAAUACGGAGGGAGCUAGCGUUGUUCGGAAUUACUGGGCGUAAAGCGCGCGUAGGCGGUUACUCAAGUCAGAGGUGAAAGCCCGGGGCUCAACCCCGGAACUGCCUUUGAAACUAGGUGACUAGAAUCUUGGAGAGGUCAGUGGAAUUCCGAGUGUAGAGGUGAAAUUCGUAGAUAUUCGGAAGAACACCAGUGGCGAAGGCGACUGACUGGACAAGUAUUGACGCUGAGGUGCGAAAGCGUGGGGAGCAAACAGGAUUAGAAACCCUAGUAGUCC